CUCUAUCACGUACAAUUUGUUGGAGCGCUAGCCAAUAGAAAAGCAAGGGUUACAUAGUGAUGGCACUAUCUUCUAAAGUAAACAAACAAGUCCAAUGGAGGCAUUUAAGGCGGGGGGAGUGCUAGUUUUGAAAUGUGAUGGACUAAAAACAUUUUCUGGAGGGUCUAAGCUUCUUAUCUUUCCCUUUUCUUGCAGUGACUAUAGUGAAAACCAUCGGGAGAGGACCAGACGUCACUGAAAUAUGUGUUAAUACUCCACUGAGUAACAUCACACUCAUAUUCUGUAAGAUCAGAACAGAAAGGAGCAGAGCAGAGUGUUUUCUGCAUUAUGAACCGAUAGAGGUCUUCGAGCAACCAUGUGACUCCAGGUUCUCUCUGAAGACGGAGAAUCAGACUGUGUUUCUCCACCUGAUGAAUUUAACAGCAGUGGACAGUGGGAUCCACACCUGUGAAUGUUCUAAUCAAGAGGGAACAUAUAUCUACCAUCUGAACAUCACUGUGGAAGAAGACAGAGAGGAAAGCAGUUCAACACAAAUGCAGAUUCCAGGUAUUUUGAUUGGUGCAGCUGUAUUCAUCAUCAUCACUGCAGUUAUCCUCGGUUUCUGCAGGAGAAUACAUCAAGGUGUCUGUUCAAGGUCAGCCACAUCUGGAUCAUCUCUAUAUGAAAACCCCGGUAAUUUGGUGAGUGAUGCUUUCUUUAAACUCAGAAAGCAGUCAGUAGAUGUGUAUAAAAUAAUUUAUAAAUGAUGCA